AGUGAACGCUGGCGGUAGGCCUAACACAUGCAAGUCGAACGGAAGCACAGUAAGAGCUGGCUAUUACGGGUGACGAGUGGAGGAAGGGGGAGGAAUACUUCGGUUUCUAUUUUUUCGAGGGGGAGAACGUAGGGAAACUACCGGUAAUACCUCAUUUGACCUACGUGUGAAAGAAGGGGAUUUUCUGGUCUUGGGCGCAUGAAUGAGUCGAUGUCGGAGUAGCUAGUUGGUGGGGUAACGGACCACAAAGGCGACGAUCCGUAGCUGGUCUGAGAGGAUGAUCAGCCACACUGGAACUGAGACACGGUCCAGACUCCUACGGGAGGCAGCAGUGGGGAAUAUUGGACAAUGGGCGCAAGCCUGAUCCAGCCAUACCGCGUGGGUGAAGAAGGCCUUCGGGUUGUAAAGCCCUUUUGUUGGGAAAGAAAAGCAGCAGGUUAAUACCCCGCUGUUCUGACGGUACCCAAAGAAUAAGCACCGGCUAACUUCGUG
rnacentral:rRNA from 1 species